GCCACCCUUUCCAUGGGGUUGUGCUAUCAUCCAAUGAGCACCUAUACAAUACACCCACAUCAACUAGAUUUUUGCUUUACAUUGGUGCAAUCUUUGGAAAA
rnacentral:snRNA from 1 species